GGAGGGGGUUCUCCCCCGCUCGGAGCGCGCGGCUGGGGAAGAAGCUGGCGGGAAGCCGGGCCGCGCGCCGAGGAAUCGAUGAUUCGGCCUGUGGGCCGGGUCACUGCGGCGGGGCCCGGGGAGCGCCGAUAGCAUGGAUAGGCUCAGAGGGGCGCAGGGUUUUGGCGGCUUCCCGAGUUCCCCUCGCCGACCGCCAUGUCACAUCUUACGGAAGAGGCGGGGGCUGCCGCGGAGAGGAUAUUUUUUGUUUUGUUUUGUUUUCACAAGGCUAGCUCCAUGUUUUGUUCACGUGACUCUCAACCUGGUGUGGCCUGGACUCUAGUCCCUGCCUCAAGGAAAGUCCAGACUGACAUAGAAAAUCCCUGCUCACCAGCCUUGACCUUGGGAGAAAGCCCCUGACCUGUGAGUGGACAGAAGGCCUGGUGGUCAGCCCGUGGGAGCCCUGGAGCGUGCACUGCUGGAGCAGCUCAGAAAAAGCUGAGAAGCCAAGACUUGACUGUCAGUCCUGGAGAAUUAGAACAUGCCUGCUAAAUUUCAGUCCACUCUGAGGAAGGGGCAGUGCCCACAAGGAAACCUAGUGGGUGGGGUUCUGGCUGGGACUCAUCUGGAGUUCCCAGGGCAGAUGCCCGGCCCCAGCUUAUAGACCAUGAUGCGGCUGGGCUUCCGUGUCUGAUUCUUAAGUGCCUCAGGUAAACAGACUCUCCUUUGCUUUGCCAGGAGGAAUGACAUUACUAUCAGCAUUGUAAAAGUCUGUGGCCUUUGGGAGAGUAAUUUUACUUCUAAGACUCUCCUCUACAGAGAAGUGUGCACACUGUUCCCAGUGGAGUCUAUAAAGAUAGCAAAGAGCAAA
rnacentral:lncRNA from 1 species